GGCCUAGUGGUUUAGUGGUUAGAAUGUCUGACUCAGAUGCGUGACGUCAUAGGUUCGAAUCCCAGCCGAGUCA